rnacentral:rRNA from 1 species
CUUUAUUGGAGAGUUUGAUCCUGGCUCAGGAUGAACGCUGGCGGCGUGCCUAAUACAUGCAAGUCGAGCGAAUGGAUUAAGAGCUUGCUCUCAAGAAGUUAGCGGCGGACGGGUGAGUAACACGUGGGUAACCUGCCCAUAAGACUGGGAUAACUCCGGGAAACCGGGGCUAAUACCGGAUAACAUUUUGAACUGCAUGGUUCGAAAUUGAAAGGCGGCUUCGGCUGUCACUUAUGGAUGGACCCGCGUCGCAUUAGCUAGUUGGUGAGGUA